rnacentral:rRNA from 1 species
AGUGAACGCUGGCGGUAGGCCUAACACAUGCAAGUCGAACGGCAGCACAGGAGAGCUUGCUCUCUGGGUGGCGAGUGGCGGACGGGUGAGGAAUACAUCGGAAUCUACUCUGUCGUGGGGGAUAACGUAGGGAAACUUACGCUAAUACCGCAUACGACCUACGGGUGAAAGCAGGGGAUCUUCGGACCUUGCGCGAUCGAAUGAGCCGAUGUCGAAUUAGCUAGUUGGCGGGGUAAAGGCCCACCAAGGCGACGAUCCGUAGCUGGUCGGAGAGGAUGAUCAGCCACACUGGAACUGAGACACGGUCCAGUCUCCUACGGGAGGCAGCAGUGGGGAAUAUUGGACAAUGGGCGCAAGCCUGAUCCAGCCAUACCGCGUGGGUGGAGAAGGCCUUCGGGUUGUAAAGCCCUUUUGUUGGGAAAGAAAUCCAGCUGGCUAAUACCCGGUUGGGAUGACGGUACCCAAAGAAUAAGCACCGGCUAACUUCGUGCCAGCCGCCGCCGUAA